AUUGAACGCUGGCGGCGUGCUUAACACAUGCAAGUCGAACGGUAACAGGCCCUUCGGGGUGCUGACGAGUGGCGGACGGGUGAGUAAUGCUUAGGAAUCUGCCUAGUAGUGGGGGAUAACCCGGGGAAACUCGGGCUAAUACCGCAUACGCCCUACAGGGGAAAGCGGGGGACUUUCGGGCCUCGCGCUAUUAGAUGAGCCUAAGUCCGAUUAGCUAGUUGGUAGGGUAAUGGCCUACCAAGGCGACGACGGUAGCUGGUCUGAGAGGACGACCAGCCACACUGGGACUGAGACACGGCCCAGACUCCUACGGGAGGCAGCAGUGGGGAAUAUUGGACAAUGGGCGCAAGCCUGAUCCAGCGAUGCCGCGUGUGUGAAGAAGGCCUGCGGGUUGUAAAGCACUUUC
rnacentral:rRNA from 1 species